UCGACGAUGCCGACUGUCGAAUUCACAUCUAUGCACACUUGUUGCUUCCGACGGGCCUCGCUGGAGGGACAGACACGCGUGCAAACUCGUACUCGCGUUCCGUGGUACUGAACAGUGGGCUGUGUACCCGCCAUACCUGUUUCAGGUUUCAUACUACACUAAAAAUAUACCACGGACGUUUUAUGACAGCCGCUGGAACAAUAACUAAUGCAUAGGUUACAUUUUUAUUGGCUUGUGCUAGCAUUUACUAUUGCCGAUCACGUUUGCUGAAAGGUAUGCCACUUCCAAGGAGUACUCACACCAAAGCUCUCCUCUAAGCUCGAAAAACACUCUUUCAGGAAAGCACCUUUUCAGCUUAACUAAGCACUAUUCGAUCUAUCUACUCAAAUUUUUCUUGUCUUUAGAAAUUUAGUUAAUAGAAACAAAGGCACAAAGACUUUUAUCAUAUAUGUAAACGGAAGCAAUUUUUGAAGAACCUGCAGGAUUAAUGGGAGGACAUGAAACAAACGAUUGUUGCAAUUGCAUCUCAUGGUAUGACAACAUCAAUGUCACCUGUCCGUCACUGUUUUAUUUACAUUUGUAAUCAUGAGUUAAAGGUUUCAUGAAUGAUUUCUGCCCAUUCCUAACGGUUAUCCGUUACUUAUAUUCUGUAAAAAUUUACGUUUGAAAAUAAAUAUUAUUCAACAA